GCCUUCGUGGUGUAGUGGUCAGUACACUCGACGCGUAUUCCAGAAGUCCGUGGUUCGAGUCCCGGCGAGGGCA
rnacentral:tRNA from 1 species